rnacentral:rRNA from 1 species
GAUCAUGGCUCAGGAUGAACGCUGGCGGCGUGCCUAACACAUGCAAGUCGAGCGAUUACUUCGGUAAAGAGCGGCGGACGGGUGAGUAACGCGUGGGUAACCUGCCUCAUACACAUGGAUAACAUACCGAAAGGUAUGCUAAUACAGGAUAAUAUAAGAGAUUCACAUGGAUUUCUUAUCAAAGCUCCGGCGGUAUGAGAUGGACCCGCGUCUGAUUAGCUAGUUGGUAAGGUAAUGGCUUACCAAGGCGACGAUCAGUAGCCGACCUGAGAGGGUGAUCGGCCACAUUGGAACUGAGACACGGUCCAAACUCCUACGGGAGGCAGCAGUGGGGAAUAUUGCACAAUGGGCGAAAGCCUGAUGCCAGCAACGCCGCGUGAGUGAUGAAGGCCUUCGGGUCGUAAAACUCUGUCCUCAAGGAAGAUAAUGACGGUACUUGAGGAGGAAGCCCCGGCUAACUACGUGCCAGCAGCCGC